AGGGUUCGAUUCUGGCUCAGGAUGAACGCUAGCUACAGGCUUAACACAUGCAAGUCGAGGGGCAGCAUGAUUGAAGCUUGCUUCAAUUGAUGGCGACCGGCGCACGGGUGAGUAACACGUAUCCAACCUUCCGUACACUCAGGGAUAGCCUUUCGAAAGAAAGAUUAAUACCCAAUGACGUCUCUAGAAGACAUCUGAAAGGGAUUAAAGAUUUAUCGGUGAUGGAUGGGGAUGCGUCUGAUUAGCUUGUUGGCGGGGUAACGGCCCACCAAGGCGACGAUCAGUAGGGGUUCUGAGAGGAAGGUCCCCCACAUUGGAACUGAGACACGGUCCAA
rnacentral:rRNA from 1 species